AGAGAAUAUUGAGAAGCAAAGCAGCUAGUAAGCCUGAUCUUUAUUGAUCUGUUGCAACAGGGUGCUCCCCUCACACGCAGGAGGACGGAGGAGGACCCCGAACCAAGGUGUGCCUGCCCUUAUAUAGACAUUUUAAAUUCCCUGCCCUGGAGCUCAAGACCACCCCUCCAUACAUCAUACAUACAUCACAGAAGGGGUGUAACCUGACCACCCCCCACAAACAUCAUACCUACAUCACAGAAAAGGUGGUCUACAACAGAAAUUUGAAUGUUGUUGUUUUUCCUGUCUGCCAGGUUAUCUGAUAAUGCCUUAUCUGAUUGCCUUUCCUGGUAGUCUGCCCAUUCCUUUGAAAUGGUGAUUACCCAAUUCCUGCCCUCCCUCCUUGCAGAGAAAACAUUUGGUCGGUUUAGGAGUCAAAAUGGUUUCAGGUUGGUACAUUUAUGAACAUUUAUUAUAUAUAAAAGACCUUAAAUUUUAUUAUUACACUAGCAACCUCAAAACCACAUGUUAUGUACUGAAGUUCUCACCCUGGGCCAGCAGGGGGAUACUGUAGAUAGUUAUGCAAAUGAAGGAUUGAAAGUGACGUUCAGUGAUUGGAUAGUUUGUAUGCAAAUGAAGGAUCGAAAGUGAUGUUCAGUGAUUGGAUAGUUUUAGAAAGCUGCAACAGUUACAUUGUUCUGGAGCUCUAUAUAAGCAGGCUGACUGAGCUCCUCAGUUCAGUUCUGUUCUGGCAUCUGAAUAAAGAAGAGCUGUUUGAAGAAUCGCUGUCGUCUGAUAUGUCCACCCACAACUUAACACCACACAAUCCACCCACUGCAGUUUUCGUUGUUGAAAAUUAGCCACCUAGUCAAUGCCAAUCUGACUCACCGUGUAAACAACAGCAAAUAUAACUUACGUAUCAGCUGCUUGAAGGAACCACAAGCUUUGGAGAAGUACAGUUGUUUUUUCUAAAUGGGGAAUCCCAAAAUAAGGGCUGAGCAUUCUUAGUCGCUGAUGAAUGCUGGUUGGCAGGGGAGCGGGAAACCUGAAAAGUUGUGCUCUGUAGUGUGACAUUUUUGUUGCAGGUCCCACCUGUAGAAUUUAAACCAGGGGUCAGCAACCUUUUUCAGCAGGGGGCCAAGCCACCGUCCCUCAGACCAUGUGGUGGGCCAGACUAUAUUUUGAAGGGGGAAAAAAUGAACAAAUUCCUAUGCCUCACAAAUACACCAGAGAUGCAUUUUAAAUAAAAGGACACGUUCUAUUCAUGUAAAAACACACUGAUUCCUGGACCGUCCGCGGGCCAGAUUUAGAAGGUGAUUGGGCCGGAUCCAGCCCCCAGGCCAUAGUUUGCCUAUCCAUGAUUUAAACAUUAUAUUUUGCAGAUAAAGUUACUUUUCAGCACAAGGAUCUCUCUCUUUGCCCAGUGGAACAUUCUCCCCCUCUCCUCUUCUCUCCUGGCCCCUAAAUUUGUUCUGGGGGUUCCCUCCACCCUCCAGAGCAGAUUUGGGGGUCAGCACAGGUUUUGCUGGGGGUGCGGUGGCGAGUCCUGUUGUGCUAGUAGCACUAAUCCAUGCACAACUAUUUAAUUGAAUACCGCCUACUAAAAAUGGCUUCACCCCCCUGUAGUCCAAAGUGGUACAGUCCUCCACAUUCUGCUGCACAUGCAGACCAGGCCGAAAUCCAAUAAUUAUUCGAAAAGCUUUCCAGAAUUAACCAGGGACACCUGUCAUAAUUUGCAUCCUAGCUCAAUCAUUUACCUCUCCUCAGAGCAUUCUGAUCAGGGCCGGAUUUAGGUUUGAUGAGGCCCCCGAGCUACUGAAGGUAAUGGGGCGCCUUUCUAUGUCCAGCUGUCCUUUGUCAACAACAAAUUGUAGCUGUUUUUUGUGUGUUGAAUAUAUGCUAUAUGGUAAUUUAUGGACUUAAUAGGUAUCUAAAGCCAUUUGCACAUAACAAAAUAUGUAUUUUAUCAAAGUAAUUGUUGAACUGAAAUACAAUUAAGAAGAAAUACCGUAUUUUUCGCUCUAUAACACGCACCCGACCAUAACACGCACGUAGUUUUUAGAGGAGGAAAAUCCGUAGGCAUGCCACCCGUAGGCAUUCCCUCCAUAACACGCACAGACAUUUCCCCUUACUUUCUAGGAGGAAAAAAGUGAGUGUUAUGGUGCAAAAAAUACGGUAUAUUAAUUGUGAAAUACAAUUAAGAAGAAGUAUAUUAAUUGUGAAAUGAUUAUUAAGCUCUAACUUAAAAUGAUUUUUUUAUUCAUAACAAACUUAAUAAUGCAAACACAUUGGCAUUUGGCAAUAGCAAAACACAGUUUACAAAGACUCAUAAUCUAGUCUCUAGAAACUUGCUAUAACAUGAAAUAAUAAUUGUAGGUUUUAUUUUAUUUGUUUUUUAUCUUAUAUUUUGGAAGUGUGCAUCCAGAUGUUUUUCCUUUAAAUUUGGGGGGGCUCCCAAGAGAAUGUGGGACGCGGGUGGCGCUGUGGGUUAAACCACAGAGCGUAGGACUUGCUGAUCAGAAGGUCGGCGGUUUGAAUCCCCGUGACGGGGUGAGCUCCCGUUGCUCAGUCCCUGCUCCUGCCCACCUAGCAGUUUGACAGCAUGCCAGGGCAAGUAGAUAACAAAUCCAUACGACUGGGAUGCCCACCAAAUUUCACUACCAUGAUGCCUCUGAAAAUCUUGUAUUUUCAAUUUAUUGAACACUUUCAUAUACUGCAGAUUAAAGUUUUACAAUCACAUAACCAACAUACAACAUAAAAACAAGAUUCCAAGGAAUCUCUUAGACUUCCCUCCUCACUUUUGUGGGACCUAUUGUUAAUCAUUUCCUCCUGCGCCUUUUAUAAUAAUCCAAAUCUUUCAUCUCUCCAUUGUAUCCAAAAUUCACCAUUGAACCACAAAUGAUAUUAAAAUCCUGCUAACGGUUUUAACUGUUUACAAUGGUCUUUAAGAUAAGUUAUAAAUUUUCCCCAUUCCUUAUUACAAUUUUGGUCUUCCUGAUUUCUGAUUCUUCCGGUCAUUUUAGCUAUUUCGUCGUAAUCCAUCAACUUGAUCUGCCAUUCUUCUCUGGCUGGGCCUUUUAUCUUCUUUCCAUACUGCUUUUUUAAGGUGACCUCACAAAGUGGUUUACGUGAAGUCAUUAAAACGUUGAGCGCCAUUGAAAAGCAUGCAGCUCAUUGGAGGGAAAAGACUAGCAGCUGUUUAUGCUGAAGAUGGAGGGCUGGCCGCCACUGGGAGCCAGAAGGUGGUGAGGUUCACCAUGCCACAACCUCAACCUCUCCCAUCUCCUCGGAGCAAGGAGCUUCCGCAGCAGCCGUCGGGCGAGG